rnacentral:lncRNA from 1 species
CAGAUGGGUUUGGGGAGUGAAUUCCAGAUUUUCUCCUUCUCUAUUAAAAAUAUAUAGAGAGAUUUUGCAAAAUAAGUAAUGUAUAUUUGACUUAAAUGUGACCUGGCCUUAACUAUCUUAAGUCUUAGAUGUAACAUUAAGGGGAUGGCUUUGGUUUUUACUGUAACUAACUACUCUUUGAUCACAGUGUAUAGGCCAACAUACAGUCGCCUAUAUGAAAGGGUGGCGGACUCGUGGGAAUUAGGCAAAGCCCCAUAGUAGCAAAUGGUCACAUGCAAAGUAUUUUAAGCAAGAGAAAUCACAUCUCACUCGAGUGGUAUUUUUGGUUGUCCUAUCUGACACUGAUGGAGCCUGCAGAGUGGGUGUGUGGCCAACGGGUGACACACUUUCAAUACAAAGUGACCUUACCUAUAUUACACCUGAGAAAACUGAAGUAGUUUUAUAUAGGAAGGUUAGCGCUCGUAAUGGACAAACUAAGCCAUUAUUUUCAGAUGCAGUGUCUCUGUUGCUGUGAGUGCUAUCAAAAGAAUAUCUGCAUUUAUUUUCAGCUGUCUCUCUCACUUUAUCUGAUUCUUUCAAACUCGCACGGACACUGUCACGUGACUGAACCAGUAGUUGAGCUAUUUUAACCCUGAGAGCCAACAUCCCAGCUGGUGUGAGAAUGUGCAAAGACACAUUAGGCACAGUCCACACACAGACCCUCACUCACAUCUGAUCCGAAUCUUAGAAAUGCCUUCAGUGCUGCAUGUUGAGCCAAAACUGAUUGCUUGAGUGUCUGUUUCCCUCUGGUGGUCAAAGAAUGAAAUGAAAAAGGUUGUUUUUAUUUUGCUUGAAGUAUUAGAUGUUAAAGUUGAAAAACAUCUUUUCCUAAGGCAGUUAAUAUGGUAGUGUUGUCUUAUAACUUACAUACUGUAUAGUAUUGAAGUAUCAUAUAUGGCAAGGUAAAAUGAAUAUUUCAAUUUGAAGAUUCAACAUUAUUCUGUAUAUAAAAGUAUAUAAAGCCAUGUUUGACAUUUCUAAGAUCAUCUUUUUACAGACAAACAAAGAGCUUUUGUCAUUAAGAGGAGAUGAUUAAAAUGGUGACUGUGUGCACGUUUUCUAGCAAAUUGUUUGGUCUUUGGUUCCUGCUGUUUAUGGAGUCAAUAUCUGAUAUCGGACCAGCUUCUUGAUUGAUUUAAGGAGUCCAGGCCCUUCAGUGUAUUUUGUCAAAGAAACAACAAGUUUGCUCAUAUAAUUUUAUAUUUUUCUCCUAAACUUCACUGUUUCUCCAGACUCCAGUUCAAUCUAAAAUGACUGAAAAUGUUUUUAAGUGUUUGUCUGACUUCACACAGGUGGUCAGCUGCAGCUUUACUGUCCUUUGUUGCAGCUCCUCCUCAGUGGACACUUUACAGCAUGGCUGCGUGUCUUCCAUUUGUAAGUGAUGAUUAAUAAUUUACCCUAGUUUCAAUCAGUCCAGUCAGCCAGUGGUCUGCUGCAGGCCACUUCCUCUCCUAAGGACAAUGGGGCCAUUUCCUGUGGGGAAGGAGGCAGAGGACCAGUGUGAGCCAAACAAGCCAGUAUUGUGAAGCAGGGACAUCAUAUCAGUGUGCUCUGUCCUUGGAGUCAAAGACAGAAUCAAGCUUACAGUGAGAUUAACUUUAGUAACACUGUAACUCUGACAGGUUCAUGUGUAAACAUCGCACUGACCUCUGCUUUAAUGGAGAAACAUGUCUGAAGGUUUAUUAAGCGGUGAAAAUAUCUCUAAUGUGACACAUGACAGGAGCAAACACAGGAGAGCUUCAUGUGUUAAGCUAUCUUCCAAAAUCUAGAUAUUGAAUCAAUGUCGCAGGUGUUUCUAAUAGACUUACAAUGAGCCGGGGUCCCACAUGAUUCCCACUCUUUUAAUUCCUGGCAAAUUUUCAACAUAAAGAGGCUGCUGUGUUCAAAACAAUACCCCCAUUCAUGUCCCUCCUGCCCUUGUGUAUGCUAUCCCAGGAUAUCUGAGGAAGCCAAAACAUGACAAGACAUGCGAGGGGAAAAGUAAAAGUUUAGAGAGUAUGAAGUUAUGAAGGCCCUGUCCCAUUCUUUUAAUAUUCAAAUAAACAUCCCCAACAUGUUAGAAGCCAAGAAUGUUGAUUGUGCCCGGAGCUGUUUUCCAAAGAGAGGGCUGUCAGUCAACACAUUCACUCUGACAAAUAUAAUAGCCCAUAAAACCAGCAGUGGCCUUGUCCCCCUCCGACCCUGUCUCUUUCACUCUUGGAGGCACAGAUGAUGCCUGUCACAAUGGCCGCAUAGGAAG